rnacentral:sRNA from 1 species
UGUUAAGAGCGAUCUGGUUGCCACAUCUAUCACCCUUUUGAUCACCAGGGUUGAUUUGGCUGAUCAGACUGGCAAGAAAUGUGUCUGCCAUCUCCAUCAGUGUGCAUCCCUCCCUAUGCCACACACUCCAUGGAAGAGAACAACCAUCCCACACAGAGCGAGAACACCCUCUUCUGCA